rnacentral:rRNA from 1 species
UGAGUGAUGAAGGCCUUUGGGUUGUAAAACCCUGUCUUCUGUGAAGAAUAAGUGCGUGAGUGGAAAGCUCGCACCCUGACGGUAACAGAGGAGGAAGCCACGGCUAACUACGUGCCAGCAGCCGCGGUAAUACGUAGGUGGCAAGCGUUGUCCGGAAUCACUGGGCGUAAAGCGCGCGCAGGCGGCGAUCUACGUCUGGGGUGAAAGCCCGGGGCUCAACCUCGGGACUGCCUUGGAUACGGGAUCGCUUGAGAAUCGGAGAGGCAAGGGGAAUUCCACGUGUAGCGGUGAAAUGCGUAGAGAUGUGGAGGAACACCUGUGGCGAAGGCGCCUUGCUGGCCGAUUUCUGACGCUGAGGCGCGAAAGCGUGGGGAGCAAACAGGAUUAGAUACCCUGGUAGUCCACGCCGUAAACGAUGAGUGCUAGGUGUUGGGGGGUACCACCCUCAGUGCCGAAGCUAACGCAUUAAGCACUCCGCCUGGGGAGUACGGUCGCAAGACUG